ACGGUAGCGGAGGAGGUGAUGGCAUGAGGUUGACUGGGGCUUUGGACCCGUCCCCCAUUCCACCCGUCGUCGCCGACAUACUUGUCCAAGGUCAGUCCGCUAACGAGUAUAUAUAAAAGUCAUCAGGAAAGGUUUUGGUCUAAUUUUGGUAAUCUGCACAACUAUUUUGGUAUCUAGGAUAUAUUUCCUUAAGCAGGUUUGGGUCUGAUUUGUAAAAAUGUGGCAAUAGUAAGGAGUUCAGGACUAUCAUAGUUACUUUUCAUUUGCAAUUCACCAUUUUGCUCAUCAUGGCACUGCUAAACUGCGCAGCUGUUAUGUCUGCCAAUCAAAGAUUCAUGCAUUUAGUGGAAUGACACUAAUACUGUUUCUGUCAUUUCCUGACAGUGAUACACUGGUGCACAGGACCUAUUAUUUAGUUCUGGGAUAUGAAUAAUCCACUAGCCGUUUACCUUUCUUUUUCUUUUUCAUCUCUUAAGUCUUAUUUCCUUACCUGUAGGCUUAACCGCUCUGCAGUUAAUCUGAUGAAAUUUGUUAACAAAUUACUGCUAUACCAAGGUCCUCUGCAGUUAGUCUUGGCAUGGCAAUGGCCUCGUAGCUCGUGGCUCUCUAAUAGGAAUAAUUUUACUCAAAAUGAAGCUAUACCGUCAUGCUAUCUUAGGUUGUUUGGACAGUUCCUUAGGAUACUGAAACUGUCUUAGAUAAUGGAGAUGAUGUUCACUCAAACAUUUCUCCCGAUAGAUAUACAAUUGUAAUUACACCAUAACUGUACUUACAAUUAAGAACAACAUCAGCUGUAACAUUAGUAGUAAGAAACAGUUCAGAUAGUGUGAAGAAGUUCAUCUGUCGGCCUGCUAUUUCAGGUACUUUCACAUCUAGGAAAAAACAAUGAUUUCUAAUGUUAUCUUGAUGGAGUUCUUAUUUGCCUCAAUAAUUGUGUAGAUACUGUGUGUGUUCCUGAAACUUCAUGGAGACUUCCAUAUCUCCACCAGGCACAUCAAAUCAGUCAGCUGUCCGCAAACCUUCUCCUUGAAGCUCUCUUAAGGAUCCGUGCCUUGUUUCCAAACAAGGGUCAAUAGCUGAAGUACAAUCUGCUUUGGCCUUGUUGGAAAAAGUGGUGGGAACAUUGAUGGUAGAAAUGCAUUUGGUCUUAGUGCCCUCCACCUUGCAACAUGGAGAAAUCAUCUACCCAUUGUGAGGCGACUCUUAGAUGCUGGCGCUGAUCCAGAUGCAAGGGAUGGAGAAUCUGGCUGGAGUAGCCUGCAUAGAGCACUUCAUUUUGGUCACCUAUGUAUUGCUGGUGUUCUUUUACAGUUUGGUGCUUCCCUCGCUUUGGAGGACACUAAGGGUCGUACACCUGUUUGGCCGAAGCCUUAUAGGAAACCAGACCACCUGUGCAGCUAGAAAUUCCUGGAGAUGGCAUCAAAGGAUAUUAGCAGAGCGCAGAUGGCGAGAGAAUAGUUCGCUUAUAAUGUGUAAGCUGUAUACCCCAACUACAACCGAACUCUUUAGCAGAUUAUAGCAAUUGCUGUUGAUAUAGCGUUUCUGCUAGGAGGAGCUUUGGGUGUCAUUGGUGUUCACUCAGUCACCCUGCUGUUCCUAUCACUUAUCGACGCGUAAACCAGUUGUUUGCUUGGCCGUCUCUUAAGAAAAUUUAACAUUCUUAUGUCCACUCUUAUGCAGUUUUUCAACAAGCCAGGCUUCAUCGAGCUAAUUUUUCUUAUGCUUUUACAGGUUCUUUUUUGCUAACUUAAGGCAAAGGUUUGUAUUUACAUGUAGAAUAUACUAGCUAAAGUUUUUUCAGCAAAGGGUUUUUAUAUACUAGCAUCUACAUAAUGCAAGAUAUUUAUGACAAAUUUUAUCUCGAAUGCAUGGAGUAAGAUUAAUAACACCGUUUGCAUCGGGUGUCGUCCUUUCCUAGAAUGCAGCCACCAUGUAACAUUGUUUGCAACGACUAUAUCGGGGGCGUGUUAGCCUCCCAUUAGAGUCCCGCCAGCGCCGAACUCUUCGCAUCGACAGUGGCCACAUUAGAGAAGAAGCCAUACCCACCUGCCACGGUAGCGGAGGAGGUGAUGGCAUGAGGUUGACUGGGGCUUUGGACCCGUCCCCCAUUCCACCCGUCGUCGCCGACAUACUUGUCCAAGGUCAGUCCGCUAACGAGUAUAUAUAAAAGUCAUCAGGAAAGGUUUUGGUCUAAUUUUGGUAAUCUGCACAACUAUUUUGGUAUCUAGGAUAUAUUUCCUUAAGCAGGUUUGGGUCUGAUUUGUAAAAAUGUGGCAAUAGUAAGGAGUUCAGGACUAUCAUAGUUACUUUUCAUUUGCAAUUCACCAUUUUGCUCAUCAUGGCACUGCUAAACUGCGCAGCUGUUAUGUCUGCCAAUCAAAGAUUCAUGCAUUUAGUGGAAUGACACUAAUACUGUUUCUGUCAUUUCCUGACAGUGAUACACUGGUGCACAGGACCUAUUAUUUAGUUCUGGGAUAUGAAUAAUCCACUAGCCGUUUACCUUUCUUUUUCUUUUUCAUCUCUUAAGUCUUAUUUCCUUACCUGUAGGCUUAACCGCUCUGCAGUUAAUCUGAUGAAAUUUGUUAACAAAUUACUGCUAUACCAAGGUCCUCUGCAGUUAGUCUUGGCAUGGCAAUGGCCUCGUAGCUCGUGGCUCUCUAAUAGGAAUAAUUUUACUCAAAAUGAAGCUAUAGCGUCAUGCUAUCUUAGGUUGUUUGGACAGUUCCUUAGGAUACUGAAACUGUCUUAGAUAAUGGAGAUGAUGUUCACUCAAACCUUUCUCCCGAUAGAUAUACAAUUGUAAUUACACCAGAACUGUACUUACAAUUAAGAACAACAUCAGCUGUAACAUUAGUAGUAAGAAACAGUUCAGAUAGCGUGAAGAAGUUCAUCUGUCGGCCUGCUAUUUCAGAUACUGUGUGUGUUCCUGAAACUUCAUGGAGACUUCCAUAUCUCCACCAGGCACAUCAAAGCAGUCAGCUGUCCGCAAACCUUCUCCUUGAAGCUCUCUUAAGGAUCCGUGCCUUGUUUCCAAACAAGGGUCAAUAGCUGAAGUACAAUCUGCUUUGGCCUUGUUGGAAAAAGUGGUGGGAACAUUGAUGGUAGAAAUGCAUUUGGUCUUAGUGCCCUCCACCUUGCAACAUGGAGAAAUCAUCUACCCAUUGUGAGGCGACUCUUAGAUGCUGGCGCUGAUCCAGAUGCAAGGGAUGGAGAAUCUGGCUGGAGUAGCCUGCAUAGAGCACUUCAUUUUGGUCACCUAUGUAUUGCUGGUGUUCUUUUACAGUUUGGUGCUUCCCUCGCUUUGGAGGACACUAAGGGUCGUACACCUGUUUGGCCGAAGCCUUAUAGGAAACCAGACCACCUGUGCAGCUAGAAAUUCCUGGAGAUGGCAUCAAAGGAUAUUAGCAGAGCGCAGAUGGCGAGAGAAUAGUUCGCUUAUAAUGUGUAAGCUGUAUACCCCAACUGCAACCGAACUCUUCAGCAGAUUAUAGCAAUUGCUGUUGAUAUAGCGUUUCUGCUAGGAGGAGCUUUGGGUGCCAAAUUUGCAGAAGAUUUGAAGCUGAGAAUAAUUAAACAUGUACUGCUUACUUUGUGUAUGGCCUAUAGUUGUAGUUAUUUUGCUUUAUGCUUGUCCACUAAAUCUGAUUUUUUGCUCUGCUCAGAAUAUCUUGGUUGUGUCUAAGUACUAUUCGAGGGUUACCAUAAAGAGGCUUGAUGAUCUGCUCUGCCUGAGUUUGCAGGAGGCAGAGAAGCAUCGUUCAGACAUGGUGAACUCAAAAUCUCUGACUGCGAAGAUCGACAGGCCGAUGGGAGUUGUGAGCUUCCGGGUAGUUCAGGACUGCAACGGCACACUUAACUCGUGGGCUACAAACCUCGAGCAGCUUGGUGUCUCGAUAGGGCGCCCAUAAGGAACGAUACAAUGUUGUUGUCUUGAUAGGGCGCCCGUAAGGGCGCCGCAAUGUUCUAGUGCACAUUUAUAGAUGGAGGCGACUUCCCUUCUCCACCCUCUACUAUCUCGGGCUGGAAUCGGUUUCAAUCCAAGAUUUCCAUUCUCUCCAUUCAAUCCUGUCACACCAGGGUUUCAGAGACCCGGGC